UAUUUAAGCGAAAGCGUUAUUACCCGUGACUGAAUAUGUGGUCACCUUUGAGGUCAUGGGGAGCUAGUGGUGAAACCGGUCGUUAUUUUU
rnacentral:ncRNA from 26 species